UUUUGAUAUGUAUUGUUAUGAUAAGUACUGUUAGCAUUUUGUCUAAGCUCCAUCACAGAGAUAACUGGCAAUAGCCAGACGUGGGGUCAAAGGAGAACCUGACAAGUGAGAGGAAGAUGGAGAGAGAAGAAGUCACCAUGAAAUAGAAUCUUAAAAUCAUGGCCAUGAGGACUGAUCUAUUGGAGUUAAGAGCAGCCCAGAUGGAACAUAAUGAGUAAUAACAGUGUAUCCCAACAAUAGGUUCCCCUUGAUCCAUUCUUUCCAGCUUCUCCACACCUCCCAUCUUCCCAAGAUCCCUCUCUUCUCCUCUUCAGAAAAGUGCAGGCCUCUAAAAAAAUGCCAGCCACGCAGAACCAAACAAGUUUUGGGACAUCUAGGUUUUUCCAAGUUUCUGGCUAUUAUGAAUAAAUCCACCAUAAGCCUAGUACCUUGCAGGUAUGAUCCACCCCACAGUUACCUGGCAUGACAAAAUGGCUCAUCUCCAGAGACCCCUGCAGAGAUACUUCAUGUGGAGAAAUAAUCUUUGUGAACCCCACAAGAAUGUGGACAUCCACUGCUUAGACAGCAAAAGCCUACACGCCACAGCUCAGCUCCAGAGGAUCCGAAACAAGGAACAUGUAGUCACACCUUAUCUGUGUUUCUCUGCUAGAGAGCUAGGGAUAGAUCUGCAGACUAGAAAGGAAAAAUCACUGAGACCUGAGUCUGACAGCCAAAGGCCACACUGCUCUGUAUGACAGCUGGAGAUUAAACACUGUUCUGCAUGACAGCUUGAAGACCUACAACUCCUGUUCCUAACAAGGUCAUGGAGAUCAAGGGAGCUUAAAGCGGCAGGCCUAGAUGGCCCUACAAAGCCUGAAAAGCCAAUGAAACAGCCUGCUCUUCCAGACAUUGUGAAGCAUUCCAGCUUUCUUGGGUCCUCAAAGAUGUCUACACUCCAGACAGCAAGAAGCUGUCUAAAGAGCAUGGUGCCCACACUCCUACAUCACCAGUUACCCCCUUCCUAUUUCCUUACUUUUAUAAUAAAUAAAAGGAAGAAAUGUUAGAACACCCCA